rnacentral:rRNA from 1 species
UACGUAGGCGGAAAAUUAAGUCAGUAGUGAAAUCCUGCAGCUUAACUGUAGAACUGUUAUUGAUACUGGUUUUCUUGAAUAUAGUUGAGGUAAGCGGAACGUGUAAUGUAGCGGUGAAAUGCUUAGAUAUUACACAGAACACCGAUUGCGAAGGCAGCUUACUAAGCUAUGAUUGACGCUGAGGUACGAAAGCGUGGGGAGCGAACAGGAUUGAUACCCUGGUAGUCC